rnacentral:rRNA from 1 species
UACGGAGGGGGCUAGCGUUGUUCGGAAUUACUGGGCGUAGAGCGCACGUAGGCGGCUUUGUAAGUUAGAGGUGAAAGCCCGGGGCUCAACUCCGGAAUUGCCUUUAAGACUGCAUCGCUAGAAUUGUGGAGAGGUAAGUGGAAUUCCGAGUGUAGAGGUGAAAUUCGUAGAUAUUCGGAAGAACACCAGUGGCGAAGGCGACUUACUGGACACAUAUUGACGCUGAGGUGCGAAAGCGUGGGGAGCAAACAGG